GACGAACGCCGGCGGCGUGCUUAACACAUGCAAGUCGAACGAUGAAGCUGGAGCUUGCUCCGGUGGAUUAGUGGCGAACGGGUGAGUAACACGUGAGCAAUCUGCCCUUGACUCUGGGAUAACUGCGGGAAACUGUAGCUAAUACCGGAUACGAGACCUGAAGGCAUCUUCGGGUCUGGAAAGAAUUUCGGUCAAGGAUGAGCUCGCGGCCUAUCAGCUUGUUGGUGAGGUAAUGGCUCACCAAGGCGACGACGGGUAGCCGGCCUGGGAGGGUGACCGGCCACACUGGGACUGAGACACGGCCCAGACUCCUACGGGAGGCAGCAGUGGGGAAUAUUGCACAAUGGGCGAAAGCCUGAUGCAGCAACGCCGCGUGAGGGAUGAAGGCCUUCGGGUUGUAAACCUCUUUUAGCAGGGAAGAAGCGAAAGUGACGGUACCUGCAGAAAAAGCACCGGCUAACUACGUGCCAGCCGCCGCGGUAA
rnacentral:rRNA from 1 species